GAAAGGACUGCCGGCCGCCGGAACGCUACCGGAUCGAUCCGCACUUGGCGUCAGGGCCACAGGAUCGCGGCACCUGCAGUCGGUGGGGUACAUGCCUCCCGGGCGACUAGAGUCUUCCGGGGCUCCCCCUGGGCCUCCAGCGGGCCUGGGGAAGGGCGUGUUCGCGUCCCGGCUGGAGCCGGAGCACAAGGCCGCGCCCCCGGGGCGGAAAGGAGCCGCGGCACGGUUCCCGCCCAGCUGCGCGGAGGCGCCACAGGUAGAGAGACGGCGUUGGCUGGGCGUGGCUGUCACGAAGCCGCCGGAAGCGCAUUCUUUCUUUUCCGGUUGGGCCAGGUCCACAGACCGCGACCCCAAAAUGGCGAGUCGGGGUACAGUCUCGGGGAGCUAGAGGGAUCAGGUGGGGGACCGGUCCUGCGAGGCUCCCGAGCUCGGAGCUGCCCUCGCCAGGCCCGCAGGGGCGCGGGAACCGGCUGCUUCCUCCCCGGGGCGGCGGGGAGGCGUGGCGACGUUGCCGCCGAGUCGAGGAAGAGGGAAGCGGCGCCCGCGGAAGCCGGGGCUGGGCGGAGUGCCCUUGGGGAGAAGAUCCACUCAGUGGUUUUAUACCAAACCUGACAAGGCCUCAGUUGUCAGAGGAGGCACCAGGAGGAUGUCACACAUAGGAGUAAAACUGUUCCUAGAGCAAAUGAUGAUGAGACACCUGGAGGGGAAUGCAUGCUUGUACCCACACAUGGAGGCUUUGUGGGGGACUAAGGGGUCUGUGAAAGAGAACUCCAGUGAGAGUAAGAAAUCCAGCCCACAAAUGGACAGUCUUGGUCCUGAGAGCGCUCGCCAGCACUUCCGGAGCUUCUAUUAUCAUGAAGCACCUGGACCACUUGCGGCUGUCAGCCAACUUCAGGAAUUAUGCCACCAGUGGCUGAGGCCAGAGAGCCACUCGAAAGAGCAGAUCUUGGAACUGCUGGUGCUAGAGCAGUUCCUGACUAUUCUGCCCAGGGACACCCAGACCUGGGUGCGGAAGUAUCAUCCACAGAGCAUCAGAGAGGCUGUGGCCCUGGUAGAGCGCUUUCAGAGAGAACGUGGUGGAAUAAGUGAUGAGGUCACAGCCCAUGACCUGGGAAAGGAGGCAGUGCCCUUGGGAGGAACAGCAGUGGCCCCAGGCUUUAAGUGGAAGCCAGCAGAGCCCCAACCAAUGGGUAUGUUCCAGAAAGAAUGUUGGAAUACAUACCGGGUACUACAGGAACAGCUGGGCUGGAAUACUCACAGAGAAACCCAGCCUGUAUAUGAAAGAGCUGUGCCUGCUCAACAGAUUCUAGCCUUUUCUGAGCAGAAAAGCACCCCAAACUGGAAGAUGGCAUCUGAGCUCAUCUUGCCUGAGUUCCAGAGCCUCUUGACGUUUGAAGAUGUGGCUGUGUCUUUUUCGGAGGAAGAAUGGGAAUUACUGGACCCUCCUCAGAAGACCCUUUAUAAUGAUGUGAUGCAGGAGAACUAUGAGACUGUCAUCUCUCUAGCAGGAAGAGAGCGUUCGGUGUGUGCCCUGGGAGAAGUGCCCCCAUUCCAGUGGCCGUUCCCGUGAGCGCCCACUACCACAGUGUUUUCUGUCAAGGAGUUCCAAGCAGCAAGCGAAGGCCUGAAUGCCACCACAGACCUAGGGACCUUGCAAGUGCUUGAUGUCUCUCCUGCUGAUCCUCUCAACACUGAGACUGGAGGCUUUCAGAUUGGUACCACACUGCUCCAGGGCCUAAAGGGAAGCCCAUUUUUAUGGCUGCUCAGCCACAACCCCAUACACUUUGGAUGCUCUUCAGCAAAGUCUGGAAGUUUUGUAAACGGAUGUACUGAGAAUGGCAAGGUGAGCCCCGUGGCCUCGGCACACAUUGGAUAGCAGGAGGGAACAUCCGGAAGUGUCAGAGCAAAGUCAGGCCCGCGGCCUAGAGGGCUGCCCCCAUGAGAACUAGGUCAGAUGGAAACUGUUUUGUGAUACUGGUAGUUUCUCUUCCUUCCCCAUUGGCCUCAGGGAUUAUCUCCUGAGAAGACAGUGACAUGUCAAGGGCAGGGCAGGGAAGUUGGAGGACAUGGAUUUAUAGCUAUGUCAGAUUCUAGUUUAAGAUGUUGGCCAAGGCUUAGAUAUAUUUAUUAUUUCAUAAAAUUUUACUUUCUUAAUGAAAUGGAAUGUUUCAUGUUAGACAUGAAACAAAACUCCAUGGUUACUAAAUCACCCAGAGAUGGCAGUCACUUUUUUGGCAUAGAUAUCUCCAGAUGUUUUUUCUUUUUUUUUUUUUUAAUUUUUUUUAUUUAUUUGACAGAGAUAGAGACAGCCAGCGAGAGAGGGAACACAGGGGGAGCGGGAGAGGAAGAAGCAGGCUCACAGCGGAGGAGCCUGAUGUGGGGCUCAAUCCCAGAACGCCGGGAUCACGCCCUGAGCCGAAGGCAGACGCUUAACCGCUGUGCCACCCAGGAGCCCCUCCAGAUGUUUUUUCCAUCAAGAGACCCCUCUAUGCCUGUUUUCAGGCUUGUGAAAUGGGAAUGAUAAUUCUAUCCUUUCAGGGCUGCUGUGAGGAUCAAAGGAGAUGUGAGCGUGCCUCACACUGAGGGGCCACAGUCGGUGUUCCAUAAACAUUUGGAAUAUUCUUCCUUCAUCUUUCAGCUAGUUUUUUUUUAAAGAUUUUAUUUAUUUGUCAGAGUGUUUACAAGUGCGAGCACAUGUGCACAAGCAGGGGGAGCAGCAGGCAGGGGGAGAAGCAGGCUCCCCACUGAGCAGGGAGCCCGAUGUGGGAUUUGACCCCAGGACUCUGGGAUCAUGACCUGAGCUGAAGGCAGAUGCUUAACCAACUGAGCCACCCAGGCGUCCCUCAGCUAGUUAUUUUCAAAAGAAGAUCAAUUAGGCAGAAAAGUUAAGCAUCCUUAAUUAACGGUGUUUCCAUCAUUCCCAGCUGUUUUUUUUUAAGCCUUUUCGUGGUGGUCAGAAGGGUAGCCUGGUAUGCCAUUCUUUUCUAGAGAUACCUCUCUCUAGUCCCUGUGAACCAAUAAGCUAAUGUCCCCAUUGAGCUGGAUAUACUGCUAGCGAGUAACAGAACCAGAAAUAGACUAGAAGCCCCCAACUUGACAUAUCUGCAAUGUGGCCAAGAAGUGAUGGCGAGGGGUGGACUUGUUGUGGACACUAUUUGCACAAUUAGGUGUAUCCAUCCUCAAACUAAUGGGAAAGGAAAGAGGUGACUAGAAUGGCCACUAAAAAGAAUGCAAGCACUAAGCCCAGAGGAGGAAGUGACCCAGAAGGAAAGGAUCCCAUUGUAUUCCUGAAGGCUUGGAGACCGACGGCCCCACCAUCCCUUCUAGAACUAUCUGAGACUGUGCUCUUGGAACUAAGGGGCAAUUCGACUCCUUUCCGAGGGCACUCUCUUUGUGUGACUGUCCGGUACCACCCUGGACGACUGCUGUCAUACCAUCAUUCAAAGGACCUUCGUUCAAGUAGCCUUUAGAAAGAGGAGAUUGACUCAGAAAUUGAAGGAAGUAUUGUAUCAGUGGAGCCAGGAGUUACUGCCUGCUUGAUGGGAUUUGGCAGAGUUCCUGAAAAUGAGUCUGCAAAAGGCCACUCCUGUUUUCUUAAAGCUGCCAACACCCGUUAUCACACCUGUUAGCGUGAAAGCUCAUUUUGGAGGUCCUCGUCUAUACUGGCAUCACCAGAAAAGGUAAAAACCAGGGGGUCUAGAGAUCAGGCAGGAAGCCUGUUAGAUGCAAAUAGGCAGAAACAGGAAGAGAAUUGAGGAUUCCCGGUUCUGAAUUUAGACUCUACCGCCCUUUGAAUGCAAGGGCUCCAGGAAGAAAGGACAUUCUCGUCCCUGUGGUCGUGGGACAGGAUUUAGAAGUUGGGGCUCCUGGCUGACCUAUCAGUACCUAUUUUUUCCCUUUCAGCCCUCUGACAUAGCUUCCUAGGGCCUCAUUCCCCAAGCAUCCUGACCACUCGUGUCAGCUCUAUCUGAGGAAAAGGAGGAGAGACAAUGGGCACUAGGGAAAGAACGGAAUAAAGGAGAGCAAUGUCAUGCUGCUUUAUAGUGCCCACCACCUUCCCAGCAUGUGGCUAAGGGAUGGCAGCUCCACUGCCUUUCUGAGGCCACGACAGGAAGACGGCACACAAAAGCUUGGAGACUGGAAGAACGGGCUGAUUUGUCAUCCAAGGGGCAGAGUGAAGAGGCAGAAGUUUCCCAAGUUCAGAUCCCACGGGCAGAGAAGGGACUGAGGAGACAAAGGUGGACCUGAGCCCGGUGUGAGGGCUGUGGGUUCAUAUCCCAGCGUCUGAGCUCCUGUCCUUGGGAAGUGAGGGGCAUCAUGGGAAGGUGGGCUGGGCGGAGAGGAGGAGCAAACGGCUGGGCGAACAGAGGCCUGCCAUCCUCUCCCACUCGGGUCUGCAUCUGUAAGGCUGAGGUUGGAGGUCCAGGGCUCAGAGAGCCCAGUGCCGCCCCUUGCUGUGGCCGAGGCACAAGGGCAUGUCUGGGUCCAGGCCCGUUCAUGCAGGGCCCAGGUCUUUACCCUCUGUCUCCCAGCACACCAUGGCACGGCUGCUACCCAAGAGCCUGUUUGGGUCCCUCUGCAGUGACUGCUGCAGUCGCUUAGGGUUGUAUCCCCUACUCCAGUCACGUAGUACACUGGCACUGAAGGGCCCUGGGAAGCCGAGGAGACCACGCUCCUUAUUUUACAGAAGAGGCAACUGGAGCUCAGGGAGUUUCCCUUCCCAGGGCCUUGUGGCAGCGGGAGGGAUUGAAAUAGUCUUCCCAGCCCCAGGCCUCUUUCUCCAGACAGGACGCAUUCAGCUCCCGGCAGUGGCUUCUUGGAAAGUGUCAUUCUUCAGCCUCUUGGCUGUCUCCCACAGGGUGAGGAAUCCCUUCUGAGCGAUGGUCUGCUUUGUUCUUGGAGGACCCCAAACCCUGUUCUCUCAAGCUAACCCCUCAGGUGGGAGGUUCCACUUCCGAGCUCUUUACGAAAGAGCUGCCCUGGUAACAGGUGGUGCCAGGCCUCCAGAAGUACAUCUUGUCCCUGUACAUAGACGAGGACCAGGGAACCAUCCUUCUCCUACCCAUUCUUCCGCGUAAAGGGGGCUGGGACUCAUUGGGAGAGUCCCGGGAAGGGCCGGACGUGGGGGCACGUCCCUGGAGAGGCAGCCUCUCCUCAGAACACCCCACCUCCUUAUUUCUGUGCUACGUGUUCAUGAAUCUUCCUCCAACACAGUGGUCACCAAGUCACUCUCCACUCAAGCUUCCAGCGGCCCCCAGUUCCCACAUCCUUUAUGUCCUGUUCCCUCCUCGGGUUUCCAGGCCCUUCUUCACCUGGCUCCAUGACAGCCAACUCUCUUUCCUGUCCUCCAGCUCACAGAUCUGAUGCUGAGCCACGCUGUUAAUGCACCUUCUGUUAGUCUUUGUUUUUAAUCCCCCAUAGGGCCUCCCGACCUGUCCAAAUUCUUCCUUCAAAUGUCACAUCACAUCUUCCUCCUUGCGCUUCCCAAACUCACUCCAUACUGACUGUCCUCUUCGAACAGCAUUUAAAACCCAGAUUUUGUUAAAACACAUUGCUGGGCCUCAGCCCCAGAAUUUCUACCUCAGUUGGCCUGGGGUAGGGCCAGGAAGUAGGCAUUUCUGACAAGUUCCUACCUGAUGCUGACGCUCUGGCACGCCCCCUUUGAGAACCGCUGUCUUAGAACACCUCUCGUGUACUUCGUCCCGUGGGUAGAGAUGGUCUUGGAACCUCAGGAGCUAGCAGCAGCUGCCCCGGGGCUAGAUGUCAAUACAGACUCCCCGAACGUAUGGGGCUGACCACUUUAGGGUUAAAUGUGAAUUUCAUCUGCACUUCACUCUCCUAUAAUUGGCAAAUCGUUACCCAAAACUAAGUGUGGCCUUAAAGGCUCUCGGUGUUUCCUGACUUUCGAGGUUUCCCUCCCGUCUCCCUGAUCUUGCUGUCUGUUUCAGCCUCUGGGACUGCCAGCAUGCCGGCCCUCCUUGCCACAAUCUGGACAUGGGCCCACGCUGGCGGUGGGUCCUGGUGGAUCAGUCACCACGAAGCUGGCUGCACUGCAAGGACCUCUGGGAUCUGGUGGCCCCCGGGAGUGGCUCCGACCGAAACACCUCAGAAGCAUCUCUGCAAAACUGGCUUUUCUCCUUCCCGGUGCUAUGUCUCCUCCAACGUCCUGCCUGCCAGCCUUUUGCAGCUCAGCCCACGCAGCAUGCUGCCCUCCCUGGAAAAUGACCUUGGCAGAGGUCAUAGAGCAGCUCAAAACGAUGCAAUAGGGAAGCACAGGGGCCUGGAGGUCUCCAGGGAGAUUGGCCUUUCUCUGAGUCCUCCUCACUCCUUCCUCAUUUUGGAGAUAGGUGGGGGCAAAAACCAUCCAGUGCUCCAGAGGUGAACUUGACAAUUGGGGCAAUUAGGUAGACCCUGCCCCCUCGCCCCUGUAGGUCAGCAGCAGCCUGGAUGCUUGGAGACGCAGUUUGAGGAGCCAGUUCUUUUUUUAAGAUUUUCUUUAUCUGAGAGAGCAAGAACGGGGGACGGGGAGAGGGGGAAGGGACCCCAAGAUCAUGAUCCGAGCCGAAGGCAGCUGCUUAACCAACUGAACCAUCCAGGCACGCCUGAGGAGCCAGUUCCGUGGAGUCCUGUAUGCCCAAGGUUCACUUGCGCCUGGCGGGCGGGUGUCAGGACCGCCCAAGGGAGAUUGGGCAUGGAUAGUUUUACAGGAAUCUAUUUCUGAGUACUUAGUUCCAUACGUUCUUCCUAAAACUGAUGUGGGGAAAACCCGAAGGGGGGUUCUCCAUCCCCACCCUCCCCUUCAUCACCACCUUCCGCCGCUCUUCCCUGCUCUGGUCUUCCCAUGGUGCAUUGCGCCAGAGUUUAUCGUGUCUGAGAAGCCAAAGAGGCGUCAAAAUAUUCCUGGUUGGGAAACUGAAUGACGAAUGACUGGGCAGGGAAUCCUGCAUAUCAAAUAGUUUCCUGUGUUUUCCUUUAGACAGAAUUGAAGAAGGGCUUAUUAAUCAACUUAUCAGCUGAUAGAUCAUUGGGAAAAAAUUGGUGAUGGCUCAGUACUUGCUUUAUGCCAUAUAACUCUAAAGGAAAUUUUAAAAUUUUGAGUGACCCUGCCAUAACAAAAUUCUGUCCUUGCCCAUUGACAUAUCUUCUCUGAAAAUGAGAAAUAGGGAUAUAAUUGGUGAUGAGCCAGGCCUCAUUCUGGAAAUAACUAAUAUUUAUUCAUGAUACGAACUAAUUUCAAGGAAGUCCUCUAUAUCAUUAGGAGUAGGAUUUUCAAUAAAUAUGUAUUUUUGUUUAUAAGUACCCAAAUUUAUAAUAUAUUUAUGUUGUUUAAUCAAUAGUAUUUAAUACUUGUAAUAAAAGAAACACAUGGACACUUAAAGCCUCAUGGUCUUAGGACAUUUUCCCCCUAUUUAUAUGUAUUUUAAAGGACACUUAUCGAAGCAUGACACAAACAGAAAACUGCUCAAGUAGUAAGCGUCCAGCUCAGUGGUCUCACUAAGUGAACAUCCUUGUAACCAUAACCACCACCCAGAUCAAGAACAAGACCAUUAGGGGCACUCUAGGAGUGGGACGGUUGGGUCAUAGGGCUUAUAUAUGUUCAGCGCCAAAAUGUGUUUCAAAAUAUAGCAACCUGCAUUCCCACUGGCAGUGUGUGAGGGUUUCAGUUACUCCUUGUCCCUGCCAACAUUUGAAACUGGCUGUCUUUUUCAUUUCAGCCAUCGUGGUGAGUAGAAGGAUUGUGAUUUUAAUCUGCAUUUCCUUGAUCAAUUAAGACGAGCACCUUCUCACGUGUCUAAUAUGUGACUAGUGAGUAUUUGAAUAUACGUUUUUGCAAAGUGCCUGUUAAGUCUCUUGCCCGUAUUUCUAUUGGGUUCUUUUUUUCCUACCAAUCUGUUGGAUUCUGAAUUUGAGUCCUUUGUUGGAUGCAUGUCCUGCCGGUACCUUCUGCCACUCCAUGACUUGCUGUUUCACUCACUUGAUGUCCCCUAAUGAAGAAGAGUUCCCCGUUGUAGUGUCUUCCAAUUCAUCAGUAUUUUCCUUUGUCAUUAGUGCUGUUGGAGUCUUGGUGCAGAAAUGACCACCUAUGCCAAGGUCAUGAAGAUAUUUUCCUAUGUUGUCAUUUACAAGUCCUGUUAUUUUACCUUAUACAUUUAGAUCUAAAAUUCAUCUGGAAUUGACUUCUUAAACAAGACGUGGUAUAUGCAGUGGAUAAUUACAUAGCCAAAAAAGGAAUGAAAUAUUGUCACAUGGAUACAUGACGCAAAGGACACCUGCUGCAACAUGUGGAUGGAUGAACCUCAGAAAACAAUAUGCUAAGUAAAAGAAAUCAGGCACCAAAGGUCACGUACUGCAUGGUUCCAUUUAUAUGAAAUAUUCAAUAUAGGUAAAUCCAUAGAGACAGAAAACAGAUUAGCGGUUGCCAGAGGCUGGGGAGGCUGGGAGUCUCCUUUGGGGUAAAGAGAAUGUUUUCAAAGCAGAUGCGAUGGAAGCACAACCUGGUGAAGGUACUAAAUGCUCCUUUAACUGUACAUUGUUUUCCAAGGUCCAUCCACGUUGGAGCAUGUAUCAGUUCCUCAUUCCUUUUUAUGGCUGAAUUAUAUUCCACUGAUAGAUAGACCGUAUUUUGUUUAUUCAUUCUUCCACUGAAGGACGUUUGGCUUUUUUUUGUCUUUUGGCUUUGUGCAUAGCGCUGUAUGAAAAUUCGUGUACGAGUAUUUGUUUGGAUGCCUGUUUUCAAGAUAAUUGAAAUAAUUUUCAAACUAAUUGAAAAUCCAAUUCUUUCCGUAUAUACCUAGGAGUAGAAUUCCUGGGUCAGACAGUAAUUGUAUGUUUACCUUUUUGAGGAAACCUCCAAAUGGUUUUCCACAGCAGCUGUACCCUUUUACAUUCCCACCAGAAAGUACAAGGAUUCCAAUUUCUCCACAUCCUCACCAAACCUUGUUAAUUUCCAUUCGUUUUUAAUUAUAGUCAUACUAGUGGGUGUGAGGUGUUGUGGUUUUUACUUGCAUUUCCCCAAUGACUAAUAAUGUUGAGUAUCUUUUCAUGUGCUUAUUGGCCAUAUGUAUAUAUUCUUUGAACAAAUGUCAAUUUGAGCCCUUUGCCCAUUUUUUAAAUUGGGUGGUUUGUCUUUUUGUAGUCGAAUAGUAAUAGUUCUUUAUAUAUUCUGAAUAAUUGGCCCUUAUUACAUACAUGAUUUGCAAAUAUUUUCUCCCAUUCUGGAGAAAUGCAUCUCUUUCUUGAUGCACAAACGUUUUUACUUUUACUGAAGUCCAAGUUAUUUAUUUUUUCUUUAGUUGACUGUACUUUUGGUGUCAUAUCUAAACAAAUCACUGCCAAAUCCAAAGUCAUGAAGAUUUGACCUUUGUUUUCCUCAGGAUUUUAAAGUUUUAGCUCUUUGAACAUUUAGGUCUUUGGUCCAUUUUGAACUAAUUCUUGUAUAUAUUGUAAGGUAGGGUGUUCAGCUUCAUGCUCUUUCAUGUGACUAUCCAGUUGUCUCAGCAUCAUUUUUUGAAGAGUCUGCUUUUCUUCAUUGAAUGAUCUUGCACCUUUGUCAAAACUCAGUUGACUGUAGAUGUAUAAGCUUAUUUCUGGACUCACAAUUCUAUUCAGUUUCUCUGUAUAUAUCCUUAUGCCAGUACCACACUGUUUCAAUUAUAAUAAAUUUUGAAAUCAGAAAGUAGGAAGCCUCCAACAUUGAUCCUCUUUUUCAAGGCUGUUUUGGCUAUUCGACUUGUCUUGCAAUUUCAUACCAAUUUUAUGGUUGGCUUUUCUGUUUCUGCAUAAAAAGCUAUUGGAAGUUUGAUAGGGAUUGUAUUGAAUUUUGUAAAUUGUUUUGUGCAGUAUUGCCAUUUUAUUUAUUUUUAAAGGUUUACUUAUUUAUUUUAGAGAGUGUGAGUGGGGGUAGGCACAGAGGGAGAG